CCUACGGGAGGCAGCAGUAAGGAAUCUUCCACAAUGGACGAAAGUCUGAUGGAGCAACGCCGCGUGCAGGAUGAAGGCUUUCGGGUCGUAAACUGCUUUUAUAUGGGAAGAUUAUGACGGUACCAUAUGAAUAAGGACCGGCUAACUACGUGCCAGCAGCCGCGGUAAUACGUAGGGUCCAAGCGAUAUCCGGAAUUACUGGGCGUAAAGCGUGUGUAGGUGGAUUAAUAAGUGUGAUGCGAAAUCCGGCGGCUCAACCGUUUGGACUGUGUCGCAUACUGUUAGUCUAGAGGACGGCAGAGGUAAGUGGAAUUACGGGUGUAGCAGUGAAAUGCGUAGAUAUCCGUAGGAACACCAAUGGCGAAGGCAGCUUACUGGGCCACACCUGACACUGAGACACGAAAGCGUGGGGAGCGAACAGGAUUAGAUACCCUGGUAGUCCACGCCGUAAACGAUGCAUACUAUUAGUAUGGGGUAUCGACCCCCUGUGCUGAGAAGCUAACGCGAUAAGUAUGCCGCCUGGGGAGUACGAGCGCAGCUUAAAACUCAAAGGAAUUGAGGCUGAGACGNGCGAGACGACGACGAGGAGAGG
rnacentral:rRNA from 1 species